GAUGAACGCUAGCGGGAGGCCUAACACAUGCAAGCCGAGCGGUAUUGUUUCUUCGGAAAUGAGAGAGCGGCGUACGGGUGCGUAACACGUGUGCAACCUGCCUUUAUCUGGGGGAUAGCCUUUCGAAAGGAAGAUUAAUACUCCAUAAUAUAUUGAACGGCAUCGUUUAAUAUUGAAAGCUCCGGCGGAUAGAGAUGGGCACGCGCAAGAUUAGCUAGUUGGUGAGGUAACGGCUCACCAAGGCGAUGAUCUUUAGGGGGCCUGAGAGGGUGAUCCCCCACACUGGUACUGAGACACGGACCAGACUCCUACGGGAGGCAGCAGUGAGGAAUAUUGGUCAAUGGGUGCGAGCCUGAACCAGCCAUCCCGUGUGAAGGACGACUGCCCUAUGGGUUGUAAACUUCUUUUGUAUAGGGAUAAACCUACCCUCGAGAGGGUAGCUGAAGGUACUAUACGAAUAAGCACCGGCUAACUCCGUG
rnacentral:rRNA from 1 species